AAAAAAAAUGUAUCUGAGGAUUUAGCACAGUGGAAGAGCACUUCCCUGGCAAGCACAAGGCCCUGAGUUCAGUCAUCAGCUCUG